CCGAGUGGGGGCUGUGGAUAGGUGCGGCGCUGCUUCCCUGGAGGGAAACGCUCCAUCUUGCGGGCCGAAGCGCGAGUGCUGCUCUGUGACAGCCUCCGGCCGCGGCCUUCCCAGCUGCUACCGCCGCUUUUCGGAUGGGCUGUGAUAGAUGGAGUAGCAGCGAAGACUGCUAGAAGAGCGUUUUCAGUCGGCCUUUAGUGAUUCGUAAAACCAAAUUAGCUGGUUUCUACUUGGAAGGGGUACAGGACAGAAAUUAUCAGGGGAACCUGCCCCCAAUAUUUCAAUGUAGGUUCUUUCUAUUUUCUGUAGGUGUCAGCUGGCUGAGAAAUAAAGAGAGACAGUACAAAGAGAGGAAUUUUACAGCUGGGCUGCUGGGGUGACAUCACAUAUUGGUCUACAGGCUGUACAAGAAACAUGGCACCAACAUCUGCAUCUGGUGUGGACCUCAGGCUACUUCCAUUCAUGGCGGAAGGUGAAAGGGAGCUGGUGUUGCGGAGAUCACAUAGAAAGAGAGGAGGAAAGAGAGAGAGGGAUAAGGAGAUCAAACUCUCCCAAAAAGUAGAGAUUAAACAACAACUAAAGAUGGCGAAUCAUAGAAGGUACCACCAUUCCUGGUAUUGGUCCCAGUUCUUCUAAGAAUAUUUUUGAUGCAAGAGCUGUUUUAUCUUGAAUCCUACAUAGCUUAUUUUCCAUUUUUCCAUUCAAAUAAAACAACAAGAGAACAAUAGAGUGAAGAAAAAGGAUGUUUAAGCCUAAAUCCAAGACUGAGGUACAAGACCAAGAAAAGUGGGGCAGAAGAUGGAAAAGAACAAGUGAAGAAUCUUGGAAACAAUUCAAAGGCACGUUGGAUUCUUUGCUUGUAAUAAGAAGUGCAAGUUGGUGUUACUUCUUAAGAUCUAAUGUUAAAAUUUCUUGAAUCUGAUCUUUAUCGUAUGCAUAUUUUUUCAUCCUUGGAUAGUU
rnacentral:lncRNA from 10 species